CGUACGGGUGCGUAACACGUGUGCAACCUGCCUUUAUCUGGGGGAUAGCCUUUCGAAAGGAAGAUUAAUACUCCAUAAUAUAUUGAACGGCAUCGUUUAAUAUUGAAAGCUCCGGCGGAUAGAGAUGGGCACGCGCAAGAUUAGCUAGUUGGUGAGGUAACGGCUCACCAAGGCGAUGAUCUUUAGGGGGCCUGAGAGGGUGAUCCCCCACACUGGUACUGAGACACGGACCAG
rnacentral:rRNA from 1 species